rnacentral:RNase_P_RNA from 2 species
CAAGUGAGCCGGACAGUCGCUGGUCGGGGCAGAAAUGCCGAGACUGGAGGAAAGUCCGAACUCCGCAGGGCAGAGCGCUGGGUAACGCCCAGGUGUCGUGAGGCAACGGAAAGUGCCACAGAAAACAAACCGCCAAAGCUUUUCAAUCAUGGAAAGCCGGUAAGGGUGAAAAGGCAGUGUAAGAGACUACCGCGCCGGCUGGUGACAGCGGGCGGCAUGGUAAACCCCGCUCGGAGUAAGACAAAAUAGGGAAGCGAUUUUCCUCGUGAAAUAAAGGGCGGCCCGUCCGAUGCUUCCGGGUAUGUUGCAAGAGGCAUUCAGCAAUGAAUGUCCCAGAUGAAUGAUUGUCCAAGACAGAAUUCGGCUUACAGGCUCGCUUGCUUC